ACAACCUACAUUCAGUUCCCCUUUCCGUGAUCUACAGUAUGGGCAUAAAUAGACUGUCAUGUGUAUCCAAAUUAAGAUGAUGGCAGCCAGGAGAAAGAUUGAAGGCAAGGGCAGUGACUGGAAGCUGGGAGAGAGGCUCAACAGCUGAAUCUCACCCUGAUGGAGGCCACCAUUUAAUAAGUAAAUACAUGCACAGCUAUUUAGAUCCUGCAUCAGACAGCUUCCUCAGACAGGUCAUCAGAAAACAUGAAGCUAAAUGCAGUAAAGAAUUACUCUCUUGAACCCUUGAACAUAUCAUUUUCUUAUAGAAAUGGUUUAAAAAUUUCUUUUUUAUUAUUUCUAAUUAAUUUUCCUUCAGAAAAUUGUGAGUUUUCGCCUACAACACAUACACUCCAAGGUAAUGCCACUCUAAUGCUGUCUAGCUGAACUGGUAAAUUAUCAGAUCCACCAAACUCUCUGGAGAUUAACUUCUGCCAGCAUAUUGGUUUCUGUUCAUUUUCACAAGAUUGACAGGCUCAUUAUGGCAAUAUUAGAGCACUCACACUGUGCAAUUGUAAUUUUGCAUAUGUUGAUGAGCAAGCAAUUAUAUCAAAGAGUGAACACUGGGCUGAUGUGCAAGGCACUAUUUGAUUAUAAAAACAGUAUAGGAUUGAGCCCUGUCAUUGAGUCUUCCAUUCCUUCUAUCUCACCUGUUUCUAAUUUAUUUCUCUAUUUCUUCCUUGACUGUCUUCAUUCUCUGUUUUUUAUUCCUUUCUCCUUCAUUCCCUCUCCAUAAAUGACAGACCUUU